AUGACCAACACCUGCAGUAUAAGAAACAUCCCCAUAUUAUGAUGGUUGCUCCACCAUGCUUUACUGUCUUCACAGUGUACUGUGGCUGGAAUUAAGUUUUUGGUGGUCCUCU